rnacentral:rRNA from 1 species
GACGAACGCUGGCGGCGUGCUUAACACAUGCAAGUCGAGCGGUAAGGCCUUUCGGGGUACACGAGCGGCGAACGGGUGAGUAACACGUGGGUGAUCUGCCCUGCACUUCGGGAUAAGCCUGGGAAACUGGGUCUAAUACCGGAUAUGACCUCCUAUCGCAUGGUGGGUGGUGGAAAGAUUUAUCGGUGCAGGAUGGGCCCGCGGCCUAUCAGCUUGUUGGUGGGGUAAUGGCCUACCAAGGCGACGACGGGUAGCCGACCUGAGAGGGUGACCGGCCACACUGGGACUGAGACACGGCCCAGACUCCUACGGGAGGCAGCAGUGGGGAAUAUUGCACAAUGGGCGAAAGCCUGAUGCAGCGACGCCGCGUGAGGGAUGACGGCCUUCGGGUUGUAAACCUCUUUCAGCAGGGACGAAGCGCAAGUGACGGUACCUGCAGAAGAAGCACUGGCUAACUACGUG